GCGGUAUGCUUAACACAUGCAAGUCGAACGGUAGCAGGCCUUCGGGCGCUGACGAGUGGCGGACGGGUGAGUAAUGCAUAGGAAUCUGCCUAUUAGUGGGGGAUAACGUGGGGAAACUCACGCUAAUACCGCAUACGACCUACGGGUGAAAGCUGGGGACCUUCGGGCCUGGCGCUAAUAGAUGAGCCUAUGUUGGAUUAGCUAGUUGGUAGGGUAAAGGCCUACCAAGGCGACGAUCCAUAGCUGGUCUGAGAGGAUGAUCAGCCACACUGGGACUGAGACACGGCCCAGACUCCUACGGGAGGCAGCAGUGGGGAAUAUUGGACAAUGGGCGAAAGCCUGAUCCAGCAAUACCGCGUGUGUGAAGAAGCCUGAGGGUUGUAAAGCACUUUCAAUGGGAAGGAAUACCUACCGGUUAAUACCCGGUAGACUGACAUUACCCAUACAAGAACACCGGCUAACUCCGUGCCA
rnacentral:rRNA from 1 species